rnacentral:sRNA from 1 species
CGCGCGGUGUGAGCGCACGCCUCGCAUAU